AAUAANCNUGAUGGGUUGCUGCUGGCUCUCCAGGGAGCAUUGUGCACACUUGUCAUUU
rnacentral:rRNA from 1 species